GGUUCAUAGAAACAGCAGUCUUCAUGACUUGACACUAGCCGCUCAGGCUUUCAUACCCAUCAUUACUGCUAUCUUGGGUGAUAUCAAGAAUCAAACUUAUCCCCUUAAUUGCUUUCUCAAUAUUACUGUGCCAACCGAUGUUGUGAACCACAAGGGUUAUCGCCUCACUAAGCAAGGCAAAGGUUUCAUCAGAACUGGGUGGAAGCAAGUUACUUGUGAAGCAAAAGGAGGGAAGAUGUUAUCAACUAUGACUAUGGACAUGACUCCAACACAAACUACACAACAAAGUGUUGUUAGCACUAGCACUUAGGAGGAUCAGAAGAGCACACGACUG